ACUCCUACGCGGAGGCACGCACGGCGCGCAAAUUACCCACUCCCGGCACGGGGAGGUAGUGACGAAAAAUAACGAUACGGGACUCAUCCGAGGCCCCGUAAUCGGAAUGAGUACACUUUAAAUCCUUUAACGAGGACCAAUUGGAGGGCAAGUCUGGUGCCAGCAGCCGCGGUAA
rnacentral:rRNA from 1 species